rnacentral:ncRNA from 15 species
CUGGUGUGGUGGGGGAGCUCCAUAAGGGGCUGAGAGGAUCCGGAUGGAUCGAUCCCUGGAACCUGAUCCGGGUAAUACCGGCGGAGGGAAAUUAUGGAAAAAAAUAG